rnacentral:rRNA from 1 species
UACGGAGGGUGCGAGCGUUGUCCGGAUUUAUUGGGCUUAAAGGGUGCGUAGGCGGCCUUUUAAGUCAGUGGUGAAAGCCCGGGGCUCAACCCCGGAACCGCCAUUGAUACUGGGAGGCUUGAGUACAGACGAGGUAGGCGGAAUUGAGGGUGUAGCGGUGAAAUGCUUAGAUACCCUCAAGAACACCGAUUGCGUAGGCAGCUUACUAGGCUGUAACUGACGCUGAGGCACGAAAGCGUGGGGAGCGAACAGG